UAACUUAGUGGCGGACGGGUGAGUAACGCGUGGGUAACCUGCCGUAUACAGGGGGAUAACACUUAGAAAUAGGUGCUAAUACCGCAUAAGCGCACGGUUCCGCAUGGGACAGUGUGAAAAACCGAGGUGGUAUACGAUGGACCCGCGUCUGAUUAGCCAGUUGGCAGGGUAACGGCCUACCAAAGCGACGAUCAGUAGCCGGCCUGAGAGGGCGGACGGCCACAUUGGGACUGAGACACGGCCCAAACUCCUACGGAAGGCAGCAG
rnacentral:rRNA from 1 species